CUCAUAGCUAAAUAAACAAACAAUAGCAUUGAAUAAAAACGAUGAGAACGUAGGUCGGAAUUUCCGAUCGAAAAGCAUAAAAUGACUCCGUUUCUAUCGAAUAAAUCUUUAAAAUACAAGCAUCACUGAAGUCAAGAGAAAAAGCUUCAUCAAAUAAAGGAGAAGGAGGGAUGCGAGAGAAAAGAAUUGGAGGUUUACUUGGAACUCCGUGGAUCCCAAAGAAGUGUGUUCAGAGAUAUUUUAUGCAAUGGAUAUUCCUAACAACUAUUCACUUAUAGGGAUCUACAUUCGCCCGAAGGUUUCAUUGGGAUACCCGAGUUAAACGCCUUCAUCUCCUCUCUACAAAGUCAGAUUCCGUUCAAGGGAUCUUCCUUCUUCCCUCCCUGAAUGGUAUAUUAUCAAGGGCCCUUGAGAGGAAAGAUGUCCUGCUCAUCAAUAUCUGCAAUCUCGCCUAUUGACUCAUCAUCUAGAAUACAUCAUUUCCUACAUAUCUCCUACAGGCUAAUCAUUGACUUCACAAGAAACAGGAAGCUCCAUAAAAAACACUCCAACUUAUUUAAAGGCAGUGUGUGACUCAGAGAGAUCACUAAUUCCCUCCAUCCUUAACUCCUUCAUUGAAAUCCGUCUAUCAAUUCCUACUUAAGUUAACACUGCUUCGUCUCUAAGAAACAUAUUUCAUUCAUCAGAAUCCUUGAUGUAGAUCACGCAGAAAUAACUUAUUUUUAUCACAUUUAUAUUAAUUCAAUUUAUUCUGUGGAGUCCGUGACCUGCGGUCAACAUUGUGAAUUAUAGAAGCUAGACUCUUUUUCUCACUCAAAAACAAGUGGAAGAUGAUGCUAGAAUUUUAAAGAUAAUGUGCCUCUUUAUUCUCUAUAGUUUGGACAAUAAAACAUAUUAUAUUCUGCUAUUA
rnacentral:lncRNA from 1 species